rnacentral:rRNA from 1 species
GAUGAACGCUGGCGGCGUGCCUAAUACAUGCAAGUCGAGCGAACAGACGAGGAGCUUGCUCCUCUGACGUUAGCGGCGGACGGGUGAGUAACACGUGGAUAACCUACCUAUAAGACUGGGAUAACUUCGGGAAACCGGAGCUAAUACCGGAUAAUAUAUUGAACCGCAUGGUUCAAUAGUGAAAGACGGUUUUGCUGUCACUUAUAGAUGGAUCCGCGCCGCAUUAGCUAGUUGGUAAGGUAACGGCUUACCAAGGCAACGAUGCGUAGCCGACCUGAGAGGGUGAUCGGCCACACUGGAACUGAGACACGGUCCAGACUCCUACGGGAGGCAGCAGUAGGGAAUCUUCCGCAAUGGGCGAAAGCUUGACGGAGCAACGCCGCGUGAGUGAUGAAGGUCUUCGGAUCGUAAAACUCUAUUAUUAGGGAAGAACAAAUGUGUAAGUAACUAUGCACGUCUUGACGGUACCUAAUCAGAAAGCCACGGCUAACUACGUG